rnacentral:rRNA from 1 species
GAGUUUGAUCAUGGCUCAGGAUGAACGCUAGCGGCAGGCUUAACACAUGCAAGUCGAGGGGCAGCACGAGGUAGCAAUACUUUGGUGGCGACCGGCGCACGGGUGCGUAACGCGUAUGCAACCUACCUUUAACAGGGGCAUAACACUGAGAAAUUGGUACUAAUUCCCCAUAACAUUCGAGAAGGCAUCUUCUUGGGUUAAAAACUCCGGUGGUUAUAGAUGGACAUGCGUUGUAUUAGCUAGUUGGUGAGGUAACGGCUCACCAAGGCGACGAUCAGUAGCCGGCCUGGGAGGGUGAACGGCCACAUUGGGACUGAGACACGGCCCAAACUCCUACGGGAGGCAGCAGUGGGGAAUAUUGCACAAUGGGGGAAACCCUGAUGCAGCAACGCCGCGUGAGUGAAGAAGUAUUUCGGUAUGUAAAGCUCUAUCAGCAGGAAAGAAAUGACGGUACCUGACUAAGAAGCCCCGGCUAACUACGUGCCAGCCGCCGCAGUAAC